rnacentral:rRNA from 1 species
UACGUAGGGCGCAAGCGUUGUCCGGAAUUAUUGGGCGUAAAGGGUGCGUAGGCGGUUUGGUAAGUCUUAUGUGAAAUCUACAGGCUCAACUUGUAGUCUGCAUGAAAAACUGCCGGGCUUGAGUAUGGGAGAGGUGAGUGGAAUUCCUGGUGUAGCGGUGAAAUGCGUAGAUAUCAGGAGGAACACCUGUGGCGAAAGCGGCUCACUGGACCAUAACUGACGCUGAUGCACGAAAGCUAGGGGAGCAAACAGG